rnacentral:lncRNA from 1 species
GAGGUAUGGCAGACACCGAAGGUGAUCGAUCAUUGUAGAAAUCUAGCUACUGGAGCCCAUCUGUUGUAGAAGUUUGUCCAGAAUCCAUCCACUAUAGAAGUUCAGACGGAGUCUGAUUCUUGUAGAAGUCCGGAUGGAGACCGCUUAUUGAAGAAGCUCGACUAAAGUCCGCCUGUAAUAGGAGUUCGAAAGGAAUUCGUUUACAGUAGAAGCUCGGAUGGAAUUCACUUACAGUAGAAAUUUGGAGUAGACCGCUUGCAGUAGAAG